rnacentral:rRNA from 1 species
CAUGUAGGCGGAGUGAUCAGUCAGUGGUGAAAUCUCCCGGCUUAACCGGGAGCGUGCUACUGAUACUGUCAUUCUUGAGUUCGGAAGAGGAAAGUGGAAUUCCUGGUGUAGCGGUGAAAUGCGUAGAUAUCAGGAAGAACACCAGUAGCGAAGGCGGCUUUCUGGUCCGAUACUGACGCUGAGAUGCGAAAGCGUGGGGAGCAAACCGGAUUAGAUACCCGAGUAGUCC